UAAUACAUUACAACUUUCAGCGGUGGAUGUCUAGGUUCCCACAACGAUGAAGAACGCAGCGAAAUGCGAUACGUAAUGCGAAUUGCAAGACCUCGUGAAUCAUCAAGAUUUUGAACGCACAUUGCGCUUUCGAGUAUUCCCGGUAGCAUGCUUGUCUGAGUGUCUGUGGAU
rnacentral:rRNA from 1 species